rnacentral:ribozyme from 14 species
UCCAAACCAAAAAAACCUCGAAAGAAAGAAAAGAAAGAAAAGAAACGAGGAGAAAGAGAAAGAGAAGGAGGUCAGCAGCUGUACAUCUGGGGAGGAUCGUACUGUGGAGUUUUGUUUUGUUUUUGUUUGU